GCCAUGACUGCUGUCCCACUGAGGAGGCUCUGCCUGAUUUUAAGAGUGAAAUCCAGCGUGUGAGUUCCACUUUGAAGAAGGAAUUAGAAAGCAUGAACACAGCCAGGAUGUGCCAUCCAACCUGGGAGGAGCAUAUACAGGGUCAAGCCCAGUGUGGAGAGGAGCAGAUAAGGGAGGAGUUUAAGACACCACCAGUACCUGGAAGAUGAAGAGACAGCCAGGACAGCUGCCCUGAGAAAGGAAAUGCAACAGAGAUGUCAAGUGAUGCGAAAAAGAGCUGAGCCUUUGACCAAGCAGAUUUCAACCCUAAUAGAGACUAUUCAGAUGAUCAAGGACAUGGAUGUUGACACAAUCACAUUCCUUCAGGUAAGGGUAAAGAUGUUUUAAAUGACAAAGAUGUAAAUUCCCAACAUGAGCUCAUGAACUCACUGCAAAAACUGAUUGUCCAAAAGACGCAAGCGUCACACUGCUAGGCUGCAGUCAAAUGACGUAUAAACGCCUUGAAAUUCUCAACCAGG